rnacentral:lncRNA from 10 species
UGGAGUUUUACCCCCUGCUCCUCUCCUGUUGGAUCCCUGUGGUGCCAGGCAGGAAUGGGCUGCUUGGGGACCCAGUGAGCUCCCAGGACCUUUCUGCUGCUUCCUCUACCCCUGUAUUUCACUCGGCUCUCCAAAUUGACUCAGCUGCAGGCCAUCCUUGGAGAAAAUUGGCAGGGCUCUCCCCUGUGUCUGACAACACGGAUUUGUGUACAAGCCAAAGAUCCCCACGGAUCUGAAUUGGAGCAGCUGGAGUUUCUAAGGACUGGUGUGAUGGAGCUCAGUGAACAUUUGGGGACAUUUGGGGAACUGCACCAUGAGGUGUUUCCUUGAGAGAGGCUUGAGAAUAGAAGAACGAUGACAUAGCAGAGGCAGACCAGGGCCCAGAGGAAUGUAGGUUGUCUAUGGUACUCUGGAGAGACUUUUAAAGCUCACAGAUUCAAUGCACCAUAGGGUUGUGUGUGGGGCAGCAGGCAACAUGCUAAAAUGGUCACCAAGAUUUCCUGCCUCCUCACCCCGCUCUCCGUACACACCCUGCAGGAUCCCCAGUACUGUUAAUGUGAUGAAUGUUUCCCCUGUGAUUCCAUUAUGUAAUAUGGCACAGGUGACUGUAAGAAAGAAGGAUUAUUGAGAUGUACAUAACCCAAUGACCUGAAAGCCUUAAAAGCAGGGAGUUUUCUCUAGCUAGUGGCAGAAGGGAAGAUUAGAAACUGGGAGAAUCAGAGGGAUUUGCUUCAUCAUUGCAGGUCUGCAAAUGGAGGGGCUACGUGGCAGGGAAUGUGAGCAGGAUCUGGUUGCUGAGAGCAGCCCCAGCUGACAACCAGCGAGGAGGUGGAAAUCCUAGUCCUGCAACUGCAACCAAGGGAAUUCUGCUAACAACAAGCAAAAACUGAAAAGUUGAUUUUUCUCUAGAGCCUCCAGACAAGAACUCAGCCCAAGUGACACCCUGAUUUUGGCCUUGAGUUCAUCCUACACAGAGAACCCCACCUUGCCAUGCUGGACUUUGACUUACAGAACUGUGGGCUAAUAAGUGGGUGCUGUUUUAAGCCUCUAAAUUUGUGGUAACUUGUUACCCAGCAAUAGAUAAUGAAUGCAUUUCUCAAAUCAAAACAGUAAACAGAGGAAACUAUUUUGGCAGGAACAGUGAAGAAUGAAUGCAAGGAGGUAGAGCCGCAUGUAGGAAACCUACUGAAAUCAUCUGGGGUUUCCAUGCAUAAUAAGAACCAGUGGCAAACGGCAACAUAGUUCAGACCUGCACAUUUUGAUACUAAUCAUAUUACUGAGUUGGAGAAGAAAGGUUUUCAACACAGAAGAUGUAUAAAAAUCACAUGGAAAGGGAUAUCAUCUUCAUAACUUCCAAAGCUCAGCCCUUAUGCAGUAUUGGUGGCAACACCAGAAAUGAAUAACGGAUUUAUAAUUGUAUUUGUAACUCAGCCAAGUGAGUAUAAAUUUUUUGGCUACACAGAUAUAUAUAUAUGUGUGUAUAAUAUAUAUGUGUGUGUAUAUAUGUGUGUAUAUAUGGGUGUGUGUGUAUAUAUAUUUUAUAUAUAUAUAUGUUUUUGAUAGAUAUUUACUAAUGAUGGGACAAAUAUGUAAGAAGAACCUUGAGACUUACUGCCAGAUUCCUAGCUCAGCAAAUGGUCCCAUGCAUGUGGGUUAAGAAAUCAGAGGUGAUAGGAUAAGCUAAUUUUUAUGGUUCUUGGUUUUCACAUUAGCCCCUCUAUCAAUUGUUUUCUGGUUUUGUUUUUAUUUCUAUUGAGUGAUCUUGAAGUAUUUUCACCAGCUAGAGUCUGAUAGAUUAAAUGACAGACAAAUAGACAGGCAGAGGCAGCUUUGUUGUUUACUAAAGAGUUGUAUCUGAUUAUGUACAGCUUUCUACAUGUGAAUCUUCAAGCCUCAUUUUAAAGAAUAAUGUGAAGCUAUCAUUCACAAAAAGUUUUAUUAAUAGGUAUCAUUUUUUAAAGCAGUUAUAGAUUCAUAGCAAAAUUGGGUGGAAAGUGCAGAGAUUUUCUAUAUAUCCCUGCCCCCACCCAUGCACAGCCUCCCCCACUAUCAACAUCCUCCACCAGAAUGGUUCUAACAGUUCUAACAUUUGUUAGAACUGAUGAACCUACAUUGACACAUCAUUAUCAACCAAGGUUUAUAGUUUAGACUGGGUGUUGUGCAUUCUAUGAGUUUGGACAAAUGUAAUGACAUAUGUCCACCACUGUAGUAUCAUAAAGAACAGUUUCACUGCCCUAAAUAUCCUCUGUGCUCCACAUGGUGCUCCUCCAAACCCCUAGCACCCAUGACUUUUUUGUACAGUCUCCAUAGUUUCACCUUUUCAAGAAUUUCAUCUAAUUGGAAUCAUACAGCUUCUUUUACUUAGUAAUAUGCAUGUCAGUUCCCUCCAUGUCUUUUCAUGGCUUCAUAGCUCAUUUCUUUUUAGC